rnacentral:rRNA from 1 species
GGGUCAGUAGGUUGGUCGUGCCACCGGUACGUACUGGGCUCACUGAUUCCUCCUUCCUGAAGAACCGUAAUGCCAUUAAUUUGGUGUUGCGGGGAAACAGGACUGUUACUUUGAAAAAAUUAGAGUGUUUAAAGCAAGCUAACGCUUGAAUACAUUAGCAUGGAAUAAUGAAAUAGGACGAUCGACCCUAUUUUGUUGGUUUCUAGGAUUGACGUA